GACGAACGCUGGCGGCGUGCUUAACACAUGCAAGUCGAGCGGUAAGGCCCUUUCGGGGGUACACGAGCGGCGAACGGGUGAGUAACACGUGGGUGACCUGCCCUCAGCUCUGGGAUAAGCCUGGGAAACCGGGUCUAAUACUGGAUAUGACUCCAUGACGCAUGUUGUGGGGUGGAAAGCCUUGUGCGGCUGAGGAUGGGCCCGCGGCCUAUCAGCUUGUUGGUGGGGUGANGGCCUACCAAGGCGACGACGGGUAGCCGGCCCGAGAGGGCGACCGGCCACACUGGGACUGAGACACGGCCCAGACUCCUACGGGAGGCAGCAGUGGGGAAUCUUGCGCAAUGGGCGAAAGCCUGAUCCAGCAAUGCCGCGUGUGUGAAGAAGGCCUGCGGGUUGUAAAGCACUUUCAGUGGGAAGAAAGCUUGUGUGAAUAGCGCCGAGUCUUGACGUUACCCAAAGAAGAAGACACCGGCUAACUCCGUGCCAGCAGCCG
rnacentral:rRNA from 1 species